rnacentral:rRNA from 1 species
UACGUAGGGUGCAAGCGUUGUCCGGAAUCACUGGGCGUAAAGCGCACGUAGGCGGAUAUGUCAGUCAGGGGUGAAAUCCCGGGGCUCAACCUCGGAACUGCCUUUGAUACAGCAUAUCUUGAGUCCGAUAGAGGUGGGUGGAAUUCCUAGUGUAGAGGUGAAAUUCGUAGAUAUUAGGAAGAACACCGGUGGCGAAGGCGGCCCACUGGAUCGGUACUGACGCUGAGGUGCGAAAGCGUGGGGAGCAAACAGG